UACGUAGGCAGCGAGCGUUGUUCGGAGUUACUGGGCGUAAAGCGUGCGUAGGCGGUAGUCCAAGUCUGGUGUGAAAUCUCCCGGCUUAACUGGGAGGGUGCGCCGGAAACUGGGCUGCUGGAGUGCGGGAGAGGUAAGCGGAAUUCCCGGUGUAGCGGUGAAAUGCGUAGAUAUCGGGAGGAACCCCUGCGGGGUAGACGGCUUACUGGACCGCCACUGACGCUGAGGCACGAAAGCGUGGGUAGCAAACAGG
rnacentral:rRNA from 1 species